rnacentral:rRNA from 1 species
AGUGAACGCUGGCGGCGUGCUUAACACAUGCAAGUCGAACGAGAACGGAUUAUAGCUUGCUAUAAUUGUCAGCUAAGUGGCGCACGGGUGAGUAAUGUAUAGGUAAUAUGCCUCUUACUAAGGGAUAACAAAUGGAAACGUUUGCUAAUACCUUAUACUCCUUAUUAACAUAAGUUAAUAAGGGAAAGAUUUAUUGGUAAGGGAUUAGCCUGUAUUGUAUCAGUUAGUUGGUGGGGUAAUGGCUUACCAAGACUAUGACACAUAACUGGUUUGAGAGGAUGAUCAGUCACACUGGAACUGGGACACGGUCCAGACUCCUAGGGGAGGCAGCAGUGGGGAAUAUUGCACAAUGGACGGAAGUCUGAUGCAGCAACGCCGCGUGGAGGAUGACACAUUUCGGUGCGUAAACUCCGUUUAUAUGAGAGGAUAAUGACGGUAUUAUAUGAAUAAGCACCGGCUAACUCCGUGCCAGCAGCCGCGGUAAAAC